GGCUGUUCCAGCGCAAAAUAAUGGCGCCCUCUGUCGUUCUAAUCGCGCCAAUCGAAAAUCUCCGUAAAAUGACGUCACCGACACUCUUCGUGGGUCGGGCCAAGCGAGUUUCGUAUCAUGAAUAUUUAUAUCUGGGAAUAUUUGGAAUGUCAUUGGUAGAUUAAUCGGUCAAAGUUCAAAAUGUUUCUUAUUCACAAGGCUGUUAUUUUCCCCUUAUUUCCAUAUAUGAAUAUCAGCUCAUGAAUAUUAAAUUACUGAAAACGGCGUCCGUCAAAACUGGUGUUCGACCGAACUGAUUAUCGCGGUGUGCGGUCAUGUGACAAAUUUGUCACAUUAAAAGGUGUUUUUCUCCAAACAAGAGGUUUUCCCCGAUGUAAGGCCCACAUCAACUUUGUUUUGGAGAUACGUGCUGCAUAUGUGUCCGGUUUGAAGGAAGUUUGCAGUAUCAUUCUCCUGACAAGAGGGUUUCUCGUAUCUUCUGGAGCUCUGGUGAGAUGGUGGUGUGAUGAGCCGUUGACUUCUCGUGAUGAGCCGUAGCGUACAGUGGAAGUGAAUCUUUCAUCCCAUAUUUGUGCAUGGAGGAUCAGGAUUACACAGACAUGAGCAUGUGUUGGGUGUAUUUUUGGUAACUGAAUGUGUGCAAAACUGUGUGAUGCCAUGUGCACUGCUAGAUUUGAACAAACCCUGCACCACCUUGAUCCGACACAUUAAGAACUUCUAUUGUCUACUUGCCAAGGAAUCACUCUGGAAUUUAAGCUCAGGAUUCACACGUCACACAUGAUCACUCGCGAUGGACUAGUUCUCGCUCCCAUAAUAUCGGACAUGUUUACAUUUUAAUGCCCAUUUAUGGCCAUUGACUGGAUCACCUCUGCACAUGUGCAGUACAAUUUUGUUUUUUGGAAAAUGAUAUUUACAUUCUGAUUUCUCGUGCAUGGCCAUCGCAAAACUGACUCGUACAUGUACCAUAAACAGUAGGCAAAAUGGUCAUGUCUCUACUGAAACUGCAUUAAUGACAACAUUGUUGCCACUUUGAAUGGGCUGGAUCCAUGCUUACAUUAUCAUUGUGAUUUUGUACAUAAGGGCAGAAUUGUGACCUAGGCUAAUUUGUAUACAUUGGUAGGAAUUCCUCCAGGACUACUGCGAACGACACUCCCAAGUGCCAAAAUUAUGAAUUGAAAUACAACUGGAUAUUAACUUUCACUGAAAAUCAACUAAUUGUUGACACUACUAAAAUGCUAUUAUUACAUUAGAUAUUUUUAUCGGCGCUUUUUUUAAAGUAAGUCAAUAGGCUACUAAUAACAAGUUUUAAGUUGGCCUUCUUUUCCAUACUUUAAAACAGAUGAGACUUUUACGUGUACAUUGUAUGUGGAUUGCUUUUUUAGGUGUACUGUGACCAAUGGGAGACCAAAGGAUUUCACUAAAUUGGCCGCCAACUUAAAUAAUGAAAUAAAGUAAAAAAUAAAUAUUACCCUGCCAGUUUUUAAAUCUAA
rnacentral:lncRNA from 1 species